GAUGAACGCUGGCGGCGUGCCUAAUACAUGCAAGUCGAGCGAACAGAUGAGGAGCUUGCUCCUCUGACGUUAGCGGCGGACGGGUGAGUAACACGUGGAUAACCUACCUAUAAGACUGGGAUAACUUCGGGAAACCGGAGCUAAUACCGGAUAAUAUAUUGAACCGCAUGGUUCAAUAGUGAAAGACGGUUUUGCUGUCACUUAUAGAUGGAUCCGCGCCGCAUUAGCUAGUUGGUAAGGUAACGGCUUACCAAGGCAACGAUGCGUAGCCGACCUGAGAGGGUGAUCGGCCACACUGGAACUGAGACACGGUCCAGACUCCUACGGGAGGCAGCAGUAGGGAAUCUUCCGCAAUGGGCGGAAGCCUGACGGAGCAACGCCGAGUGAGUGAUGAAGGUCUUCGGAUCGUAAAACUCUGUUAUUAGGGAAGAACAAAUGUGUAAGUAACUAUGCACGUCUUGACGGUACCUAAUCAGAAAGCCACGGCUAACUACGUG
rnacentral:rRNA from 1 species